AAAUGUACUAAAUUAGAAUAACAUAAAAACACCUCCGAUGAGUCAUAUAAAAGUUUCUCCCUUCUUAAGGACCACUACACUGUGUCCACUUAAAAUAUUCUGAUGCCCAUUGACAAUACUUCUCAUUAUGUACAGGGGAAGUAGUUCCAUUCAAAUCAUUUCUAUAUAGAUACCCAACACCUUAUCAAGUUUCAAGAAGCAGUAAUCCCCUUUGGUAUGCCAUCAGAAGGGCAUCCACUCACAUAAUUGUCCUAUCAAGCUACUCUCCUUUUGUAAAAUAUACACCUCAAUGGCAUUGGCUGAAGCAGGAACUUAAAAAUGUGAAUAGAG